rnacentral:tRNA from 2 species
UCCGGGAUCGUCUAGCGGCAGGACGCCUCGCUUUGGACGCGAAGACGCAGGUUCGAUCCCUGCUCCCAGAA